rnacentral:rRNA from 1 species
AUUGAACGCUGGCGGCAUGCCUUACACAUGCAAGUCGAACGGCAGCACGGACUUCGGUCUGGUGGCGAGUGGCGAACGGGUGAGUAAUAUAUCGGAACAUACCCAGUAGUGGGGGAUAACUAUCCGAAAGGAUAGCUAAUACCGCAUACGAUCUGUGGAUGAAAGCAGGGGAUCUUCGGACCUUGUGCUAUUGGAAUGGCCGAUAUCUGAUUAGCUAGUUGGUAGGGUAAAAGCCUACCAAGGCGACGAUCAGUAGCUGGUCUGAGAGGAUGACCAGCCACACUGGAACUGAGACACGGUCCAGACUCCUACGGGAGGCAGCAGUGGGGAAUUUUGGACAAUGGGGGCAACCCUGAUCCAGCAAUGCCGCGUGAGUGAAGAAGGCCCUCGGGUUGUAAAGCUCCUUUGUCAGGGAAGAAACGGAGUUCUCUAAUAUAGGAUUCUAAUGACGGUACCUGAAGAAUAAGCACCGGCUAACUACGUGCCAGCAGCCGCGGUAAUACGUAGGGUGCAAGCGUUAAUCGGAAUUACUGGGCGUAAAGCGUGCGCAGGCGGUUUUGUAAGUCUGAUGUGAAAUCCCCGGGCUCAACCUGGGAACUGCAUUGGAGACUGCAAGGCUAGAGUGUGUCAGAGGGGGGUAGAAUUCCACGUGUAGCAGUGAAAUGCGUAGAGAUGUGGAGGAAUACCGAUGGCGAA